GACAGAGGGUGCAAACGUUGUUCGGAAUUACUGGGCGUAAAGCGCGUGUAGGCGGUUAUGCAAGUCGGGGGUGAAAUCCCCGGGCUCAACCCGGGAACUGCGUCCGAUACUGGCAGGCUUGAAUCCGGGAGAGGGAUGCGGAAUUCCAGGUGUAGCGGUGAAAUGCGUAGAUAUCUGGAGGAACACCGGUGGCGAAGGCGGCAUCCUGGACCGGCAUUGACGCUGAGGCGCGAAAGCCAGGGGAGCAAACGGG
rnacentral:rRNA from 1 species